GUGCAUUUGCUGCUGGGAACCGCUACGCUCAGCUGGGCAGUAGCUAUGUGAGCUCUCCUCCACCCUGAGCAAUUUCAACACUUCCUGGAGCUUUGAAAUGGAGGGGCGAAAGCCUGUGUAGCUGGAUGCAGGGCUGCAGAGUUCAAAACGAAGUGCUGAAAUACUGCAAGAGAGGCAAUUCUCAUAAUACUUCUGAAGUACUGACCCAGCAAUCCCAUGAGAGCCUCGGUUCAUGAGGUGUUGUGUCUGAUUCCAGAACAAAGAGAACUGAGUACAUUCAGUAAGAACAAAGAGGUAUUCUUACACCUGGAAAAGACUAUAUAAGGCUGAUGUCUCAUCUCCAUCUGGUCUUCAAUCCUGCUUCAUACCUCUGGAGGAACUUUGCCACAUGCUGAAGCUUUGAACAGAGGACUGAGGACCCAUCCCAGCGGGGGAUGUAUUCCAGAGACUUGAUUUGAACCUGCAGUUUAUUCCAUUGCUGCUGCAAGCCUGAACCAAGAACUGUGCCAUUACUGUAUGUAAUUGAUUCCAUUUAACCAAUUCUAACUCUCAUCUCUAUCUUUUUCCUUUUAUAAAUAAACCUUUAGAUUUUAGAUUCUAAAGGAUUGGCAACAGCGUGAUUUGUGGGUAAGAUCUGAUUUGUAUAUUGACCUGGGUCUGGGGCUUGGUCCUUUGGGAUCAGGAGAACCUUUUUCUGUUACUUGGGUACUG